UUUGAAUUGUAAUUUUGAAAUGUAUUGCCAAUGGAGGCGCAGGUGCAAGCCUAUUGAAAGAAAGCGUCAAUGAGGGUGAGAUUCCUUUUUGUCAUUUGCAGUCCUCCGUGCACGGUAUAUAUUUGACGAGUCACACUCCUCGGCAUUGGAAUGAAAAGUGGGUGGUAAAUUCCAUGUAAAGGUAAAUAUAUUAUUGAGACUGAUAGCAAACAAGUACCAUGAGGGAAAUAUGAAAAGGACUUUGAAAAGAGAAUUAAAAGAGUCUGCAUUUGCUGAACAGAAAGCAAACAGAAUUGAUUUUACUUGGUGAGAUUGUUGUGCUUACUCUAUCAUUUAUAUGGUUGAUGUGGGUGCGAUGGUUCUUACCUUGAAUGUCAGCUUCUAUUUCUGCAAAUCAUUACCCUUGCACAUGAAUGGUAACUUGCCUGCGGGUAUUGGAAUGCAUGUGUUUGCAAUGAUUUGUGAUUUGACGCAUGUGUUUGGUGAAAUUUGUAUAUGCUCUUUUGUCGAAGGGGAAAGCUUACUUUUUUGAGCAUUGCAAGCCCUUACACAUCAGUGCUGGCAAAAUGUUUCUGCUUGACCCGUCUUGAAACACGGACCAAGGAGUCUAACAGAUGUGCAAGUUCGUGGGUGGCAAACCUUUUUGCGCAAUGAAAGUAUUGGCUGGGAUACUUGCACCAGCAGCCGACCAAUUAGCAGACAGAGGUUUGAGUUUGAGCAUAUCUAUUAGGACCCGAAAGAUGGUGAACUAUGCCUGAACAGAAUGAAUUCAGAGGAAACUCUGAUGGAGGUUCGUAUCGAUACUGACGUGCAAAUCGUUCGUCAUACUUGGGUAUAGGGGCGAAAGACUAAUCGAACCAUCUAGUAGCUGGUUCCCUCCGAAGUUUCCCUCAGGAUAGCUGGAGUUGCACAGUUUUAUCAGGUAAAGCGAAUGAUUAGAGGAAUUGGGGACACGCUGUCCUUGACCUAUUCUCAAACUUUAAAUGGGUAAGAUGCAAUGGUUGCUUUAUUGAACUUUUGGAAUAAAUGGCAAUAUCAGGUGGGCCAUUUUUGGUAAGCAGAACUGGCGAUGAGGGAUGAACCUAACGUUGGGUUAAGGUGCUUAAUUGCUUGCUCAUUAGAUACCAGAAAGGGUGUUGGUUCAUUUUAACAGCAGGACGGUGGUCAUGGAAGUCGAAAUCCGCUAAGGAGUGUGUAACAACUCACCUGCCGAAUGGACUAGCCCCGAAAAUGGAUGGCGCUCAAGCGGGUGACCGAUACCCAACCACUGUUCCAAAUAGUGUCAGUGUGUAGGAGGGCAUGGCGGUUUGUGAUGCAGCC
rnacentral:rRNA from 1 species